GCCUUCUGAGUGCUGUCGGUAGCGCGUCAGUCUCAUAAUCUGAAGGUCCUGAGCUCGAGCCUCAGAGAAGGGA
rfam:Chelonia mydas contig201564, whole genome shotgun sequence.